UCUUGACUAGUAUAUCGGUCAGUACACGCGCUUGUCAUCGUAGUAACGGUUGCGCGCGAAAGCUGGGUUCGACUCCCAGGUCGAGAG